UACGAAGGGUGCAAGCGUUAAUCGGAAUUACUGGGCGUAAAGGGUGCGUAGGCGGUUGUUUAAGUCUGUCGUGAAAUCCCCGGGGCUCAACCUGGGAAUGGCGAUGGAUACUGGACAGCUAGAGUGUGUCAGAGGAUGGUGGAAUUCCCGGUGUAGCGGUGAAAUUCGUAGAUAUCGGGAGGAACACCGGUGGCGAAGGCGGCGAUCUGGGUAGAUACUGACGCUGAGGUGCGAAAGCGUGGGGAGCAAACAGG
rnacentral:rRNA from 1 species